GGGAAGGUGGCUCAGUGGUAGAGAGCUUGCCUUGCAUGCAUGAGGCCCUAGGUUCAAUUCCUCAGUACCA
rnacentral:tRNA from 1 species